AUUUACAAAUGUAUUCAAACUAUUUAAUUUUCAUAAUAGCAUGUCAUCAUAAUCAUAUUGCUCAUAUUCACACACUACAUGCACAGCUUGUAUAAUUAUAAUAAUUCAUUAAUCACAACCUGAGAUAAAAAAAUAUCAAAGUUAUUACUGAGUUGCAUACCCUACCAAAGCCGAUGUGUGCACAUCUUCAAAUGGCAUGCGUGACUCUGGUUAGGAACAUUAUGACGGUCUGUGUAGGAGGUAUUGUUACAAUAGCUAUACCACCAAGGGAUGAUUGUUACAAAUACCCCAUUUCUUUUAACCCGAAAAAAAUAUAUUGUCCAUGAUUGAGAGCUUACGUUUUUAUUACAGAUGUGUCAACAGUGGUAUGGAGUACGAUGUACAACUACUGUGAACUUUGAGCAUGAUCAAUUUUCUUAAAAACAAUUAACUCUGCCUUUAUUUUAUAGAAAUAAAUGAUUAUAAUGAAUUGAUGACACAAUUUAUCUAUUCCUGGGCAGCGUACGAUUGAAAGCAUUCCCAAAUUUUAACUUGAUGAUCACAUAAAGAUUAUUAUUGUUCAAAAAAUGUGAGGAUCUGCAAGGUGCAAACACCCAUAAACUGAGAAAGCUCCCAAGUAACCUCACCAAAAGUCCAUGGCAUUAAUUUACUUUUGAUGGAUUAAUAUACCUGAGUACAGCUGACAAAAAAAAUACCUACUGCUCAUGACUAUGAUGACAAAGAUACAAGUGGAAAUUUUUUUGCUGCUAGAAAGAGAGAUGAUAAUAAGUGUAUACUUGCAUUGUUUAUCAAAAGAAAGAAAGGCGAAAACAACAAUAGUAUUCGAUUACUGGUUUAUUAAAAUGAAAGAAAAAACAUAACAACAAUAACUAUUUGAUUCUCUGGUUUAUUAAAGUGAAACGACUUCCUAGAUGUCAAUGUCAUGUGAUAAUGAAUAUUGGAUUUUCUGUCAAAUUCAAAGUGUGUAUGUUAAUAGUACAUUCAUGACGCCGAAGACACAACGUGGACACAUGCUUUAUAUCGUUAUACACAUAUUUAUCAAUCAAUAAAUGUAUAUGUAUUAAUUACAAUGAAGUGUUUUAUCAUUGUAACCACAUCCAUGCUUGAUAGUAGCAUAGUAUAAAAUGCGUGACGUGCUAUAUUUAUUAUUCACACAUUUCCUCCGCUACCAUGCGGUACAUUUUAGUUACUCAAUUAGAAACUACUGGUGCAACAUCAUGCAAACUUCAGGGUAUAACAGGCACAGAUGUAACGAAUUUAGAGCAGCAUCUAAAUAACAACGAGAUAGUUUUUAUCAAACAGCCUAAUUUUAUUGAAGUAGAUUCUCAAGGGGUUAAAGUUUUAAAUAUUUUAGCAGGAACACUAUUCAAUUACAGAAUAGUUGGACAGUCUAUGAUUGUUGAGGCAUCAAACAUAGGUGGACGAACUGUACAAGUGCAGCACACUACGUGGACUCUUGCGAGAGAUAAGUAGAUAAAUGUAAUGUAAAACCUUUAAUAUAUAAAUUACAGAUUGUAUUCCAACCA